rnacentral:rRNA from 1 species
GACAGAGGGUGCAAACGUUGUUCGGAAUUACUGGGCGUAAAGCGCGUGUAGGCAGUUUCGCAAGUCGGGUGUGAAAGCCCUGGGCUCAACCUAGGAAGUGCACUCGAAACUGCGAGACUUGAGUCCUGGAGAGGAAGGCGGAAUUCUCGGUGUAGAGGUGAAAUUCGUAGAUAUCGAGAGGAACACCGGUGGCGAAGGCGGCCUUCUGGACAGUGACUGACGCUGAGGUGCGAAAGCGUGGGGAGCAAACAGG